rnacentral:rRNA from 1 species
CAGCAGCCACGGGAAUACAGAGGGUGCAAGCGUUAAUCGGAUUUACUGGGCGUAAAGGGCGCGUAGGUGGUUAUGUAAGUGAGAUGUGAAAUCCCCGGGCUCAACCUGGGAACUGCAUCUUAUACUGCGUAGCUGGAGUGCAGUAGAGGGUAGUGGAAUUUCCGGUGUAGCGGUGAAAUGCGUAGAUAUCGGAAGGAACACCUGUGGCGAAAGCGGCUCACUGGACCAUUUCUGACGCUGAUGCACGAAAGCUAGGGGAGCAAACAGGAUUAGAUACCCCAGUAGUCCCUGUCUCUUAUAC